rnacentral:rRNA from 1 species
UACGGGGGGGGUAAGCGUUGUUCGGAAUUACUGGGCGUAAAGGCUCGUAGGCGGCCAACUAAGUCAUACGUGAAAUCCCUCAGCUUAACUGGGGAACUGCGUCCGAUACUGGUCGGCUUGAAUUCGGGAGAGGGAUGCGGAAUUCCAGGUGUAGCGGUGAAAUGCGUAGAUAUCUGGAGGAAUACCGGUGGCGAAGGCGGCAUCCUGGACCGACAUUGACGCUGAGGAGCGAAAGCUAGGGGAGCAAACGGG